GCCGGGAAAGACAUCACUCGCAGAAGAAGCACCGGCUAACUCCGUGCCAGCAGCCGCGGUAAUACGGAGGGUGCAAGCGUUAAUCGGAAUUACUGGGCGUAAAGCGCGCGUAGGUGGCUUGAUAAGCCGGUUGUGAAAGCCCCGGGCUCAACCUGGGAACGGCAUCCGGAACUGUCAAGCUAGAGUGCAGGAGAGGAAGGUAGAAUUCCCGGUGUAGCGGUGAAAUGCGUAGAGAUCGGGAGGAAUACCAGUGGCGAAGGCGGCCUUCUGGACUGACACUGACACUGAGGUGCGAAAGCGUGGGUAGCAAACAGGAUUAGAUACCCUGGUAGUCCACGCCGUAAACGAUGUCGACCAGCCGUUGGGUGCCUAGCGCACUUUAUGGCGAAGUUAACGCGACAAGUCGACCGCCUGGGGAGUACGGCCGCAAGGUUAAAACUCAAAUGAAUUGACGGGGGCCCGCACAAGCGGUGGAGCAUGUGGUUUAAUUCGAUGCAACGCGAAGAACCUUACCUACUCUUGACAUCCUGCGAACUGGUGAGAGAUCACUGGGUGCCUUCGGGAACGCAGAGACAGGUGCUGCAUGGCUGUCGUCAGCUCGUGUUGUGAAAUGUUGGGUUAAGUCCCGUAACGAGCGCAACCCUUGUCCUUAUUUGCCAGCACGUAAUGGUGGGAACUCUAAGGAGACUGCCGGUGUCAAACCGGAGGAAGGUGGGGGACGACGUCAAGUCAUCAUGGCCCUUACGAGUAGGGCUACACACGUGCUACAAUGGCCGGUACAAAGGGCGGCGAACUCGCGAGAGUCGGCGAAUCCCUUAAAGGCGGUCUCAGUCCGGAUCGGAGUCUGCAACUCGACUCCGUGAAGUCGGAUCGCUGGUAAUCGUGAAUCAGAAUGUCACGGUGAAUACGUUCCCGGGCAUGUACACACCGCCCGUCACACCAUGG
rnacentral:rRNA from 1 species